AUUGAACGCUGGCGGCAGGCUUAACACAUGCAAGUCGAGCGGAGCGAGGGUGCUUGCACCUUAGCUUAGCGGCGGACGGGUGAGUAAUGCUUAGGAAUCUGCCUAUUAGUGGGGGACAACAUUCCGAAAGGAAUGCUAAUACCGCAUACGCCCUACGGGGGAAAGCAGGGGAUCUUCGGACCUUGCGCUAAUAGAUGAGCCGAAGUCGGAUUAGCUAGUUGGUGGGGUGAAGGCCUACCAAGGCGACGAUCUGUAGCGGGUCUGAGAGGAUGAUCCGCCACACUGGGACUGAGACACGGCCCAGACUCCUACGGGAGGCAGCAGUGGGGAAUAUUGGACAAUGGGCGGAAGCCUGAUCCAGCCAUGCCGCGUGUGUGAAGAAGGCCUUUUGGUUGUAAAGCACUUUAAGCGAGGAGGAGGCUACUAGUAUUAAUACUACUGGAUAGUGGACGUUACUCGCAGAAUAAGCACCGGCUAACUCUGUGCCAGCAGCCGCCGUAAAAC
rnacentral:rRNA from 1 species